GUUCAAAGAAAGAUAACUCUAGUAUUUGGUUUUUGCCACGUGUGAGCAGCACAGAAGGUAAACAUGUCGCAAGGAGACGAGAAAUAUAUGGACGAGUUCGACAAAUACAACAUCGAACAGGACAAAUAUGUUCAUUCUGGUAAAAGUGGGAAGGGGCGCAGCAAGACGGAGACGGAGCAAAAUAAAAACCAGGGAGAACACACGCGCAAAAUCGCCGAACAGCUCAUGAACAGCGCGCAUAAAUCGGAAAAGGAGCCCGAGCAUAAUAAAAAAUAACCUGCCAUAUGCAACGAUUAUAACGGAUGCGGAGUGGAUUGAUGUCAAUGCGGUUCACUAUAAUGAAGAAUUGUUGAGUUAAAAUACAUGGAAUGCAAUGUAAAUUAUUAACUGUGAUUCAAACUGAAACAACAAAACAUUAAAUUUUGGAUUGGGAUGUUGCUUGCAGUCUCAGAUAUUUGUUUGUAAUUCAUUUAAUUAUAUUUUUUUGUAUUAUUCAUCGUUGUUUCUUUGUAUAAACGUUGUUUCCAUAA